rnacentral:rRNA from 1 species
GAGUUUGAUCAUGGCUCAGAUUGAACGCUGGCGGCAUGCCUUACACAUGCAAGUCGAACGGCAGCACGGGAGCUUGCUCCUGGUGGCGAGUGGCGAACGGGUGAGUAAUGCAUCGGAACGUAUCCUUGAGUGGGGGAUAACGUAGCGAAAGUUACGCUAAUACCGCAUAUUCUGUGAGCAGGAAAGCGGGGGACCUUCGGGCCUCGCGCUCUUGGAGCGGCCGAUGUCGGAUUAGCUAGUUGGUGAGGUAAAGGCUCACCAAGGCGACGAUCCGUAGCAGGUCUGAGAGGAUGAUCUGCCACACUGGAACUGAGACACGGUCCAGACUCCUACGGGAGGCAGCAGUGGGGAAUUUUGGACAAUGGGGGCAACCCUGAUCCAGCCAUGCCGCGUGAGUGAAGAAGGCC